rnacentral:rRNA from 1 species
AUGCAGGCGCUCCUACUCCCAUCGCGGCUGCCGCCGCCGCUGCUCCGGCAGCGAGGGCUUCCCGCUGUUGCGUCUCUCGCCAGCCAUCCCCUCAACGGAGCUACCCUCCCUACCGGGCGCCUCUGCUUCGGGGGCGGCGAAGCCGCUCCGCGGCGUCUCACUGUGGCGGCGGCGGCGUCCUCGUCUUCGUCGGGCCCUCUCUACCCGACGCCUCCCCCCACCGAGCAGACAAUUGAGCGCGCCAAGCUCGAGCAGGUUAUCAAGAGGCUAGAGAAAACAGCUAGGUAUUUCAAGAAUUUGGGUACCCUAGGGUUCUGGUCCCAGUUGGUGUGCACGUUUGUUUCUGCUGGAAUUUUGUCAUUCUCCACAGUUGUUACUGGGAAGGUUACAUCACCCUUUACAUUCUACACAACUGCUGCUGGCGUUGCUGCAGCUUUUAUUUCAGUCUUCUGGUCAUUUGGCUACAUCCGUCUUUCUGAAAGACUUCGGAAAACAGCAAGUGCACCCGCAAAGGCUCCUCCACGGGCUGAUGUGAUUAAAAGUCUGAAAAAUGGCAUUGUGCUCAAUAUUCUUGGGAUGGGUUCAGCUGUUCUCGGUAUGCAGGCACUUGUUGGUGCUUUGGUAGCAAAAGCCCUUACUACCUCCGCAGUCCCCUAUUAUCAGGCAACUUCUGCUGGCCAAAGUCCUGUUUUGGCUCUAGAUGUAUUCCUGGUUCAGGCUUCAGCGAACACCAUACUGUCGCAUUUCCUAGGUGUGGCGACUUCCCUGGAGCUGCUCCGUUCCGUGUCAAUCGCCCCGACCGAGCCUGCUGCGACAUGA